rnacentral:rRNA from 1 species
AGCUAAUACAUGCAGUCAUGCUCUGACCGCAAGGGACGAGCGCAUUUAUUAGAAUAAAAACCAAUCGGGCUUCGCCCGUAAUUUGGUGAAUCUGAAUAACUUUGCCAAUCGCACAGUCCUAGUACUGGCGAUAUAUCUUUCAAGUGUCUGCCUUAUCAACUUUCGAUGGUAGGCUAUACGCCUACCAUGGUAUUAACGGGUAACGGAGAAUAAGGGUUCGACUCCGGAGAGGGAGCCUGAGAAACGGCUACCACAUCCAAGGAAGGCAGCAGGCGCGCAAAUUACCCACUUCCAGAACGGAGAGGUAGUGACGAAAAAUAACGAGACAGUCCUCUUCGAGGUCUGUCAUCGGAAUGGGUACAAUUUAAAUCCUUUAACGAGGAUCUAUUGGAGGGCAAGUCUGGUGCCAGCAGCCGCGGUAAUUCCAGCUCCAAUAGCGUAUAUUAAAGUUGUUGCGGUUAAAACGCUCGUAGUUGGAUUUGCGGCCUUGGAGAACGGUCCCCCGAAAGGGUGGUCACUGUCUCUCCUAGCCUAAAUUUGAGUCGUCUCUAGGUGCUCUUAAUUGAGUGCCUAGAGUGACAAGAACGUUUACUUUGAAAAAAUUAGAGUGCUCAAAGCAGGCGUGAUAGCCUGAAUAAAAUGCAUGGAAUAAUGGAAUAGGACCUCGGUUCUAUUUUGUUGGUUUUCGGAGCCUGAGGUAAUGAUUAAGAGGAACAGACGGGGGCAUUCGUAUUCCGGCGCUAGAGGUGAAAUUCUUGGACCGCCGGAAGACGGACGACUGCGAAAGCAUUUGCCAAGAAUGUUUUCAUUAAUCAAGAACGAAAGUUAGAGGUUCGAAGGCGAUCAGAUACCGCCCUAGUUCUAACCGUAAACGAUGACAACCAGCGAUUAAUCGGCGUUAAUAUAUGACCCGAUUAGCAGCUUCCGGGAAACCAAAGUUUUUCGUUUCCGGGGGAAGUAUGGUUGCAAAGCUGAAACUUAAAGGAAUUGACGGAAGGGCACCACCAGGAGUGGAGCCUGCGGCUUAAUUUGACUCAACACGGGAAAACUCACCCGGCCCGGACACUGUAAGGAUUGACAGACUGAGAGCUCUUUCUUAAUUCGGUGGGUGGUGGUGCAUGGCCGUUCUUAGUUGGUGGAGCGAUUUGUCUGGUUAAUUCCGAUAACGAACGAGACUCUGGCCUACUAAAUAGUCGGUAUAUCUGAAAGUAUGCCGUACUUCUUAGAGGGACAAGCGGCUUCUAGCCGCAUGAAAUAGAGCAAUAACAGGUCUGUGAUGCCCUUAGAUGUCCGGGGCUGCACGCGCGCUACACUGAAGGAAUCAGUGUGCGAUGUGCCUAGUUCGGAAGAACCGGGUAACCCAAGUAAAUUCUUUCGUGCUUGGGAUAGGGAAUUGCAAUUAUUUCCCUUAAACGAGGAAUUCCCAGUAAAUGCGGGUCAUAAGCUCGCGUUGAUUACGUCCCUGCCCUUUGUACACACCGCCCGUCGCUACUACCGAUUGGAUGACUUAGUGAGGUCUUAGGACCGAGGUAAAGGUGCUCUGACGAGUGCUUUUGCUUUGGAAAUUUGAUCGAACUACGUUAUCUAGAGGAAGUAAAAGUCGUA